rnacentral:lncRNA from 1 species
AGCAAACACACCCCAGGCUAGGGGAGAGCAGGAAAGAGUCGCGCAAGAUUCUGGAAGCUUCCCAGCAAGUUCAGCCCCCCUUCUCAGUCCUUGGUGAGCAGGGUGGCCCCCAGCUGGCCCAGGCUUGGGUCUUAGCGAGCAGCCUAGAACACCCAGCUGCAGGAGGACGCAGAGGCCGAGCCCACCAGGAAGGACCCAGGGUGGACUGCAGAGAUAACCAGUGUCCAGGCACGGUUUGGUUUUGAAGGCCUCCUCCUUAGCAGGGUCCUGUUGCCACCGGAAGGGGACCCACAGCUGUCAGGGAUGAAUCUGCCGGCCGGCCGUCUCCAGCAGUCCUGCCCCCCCAGCACAGACGCUUCCCGCUUCCCCCUGGAGCCCGGAAAAAGAA